ACUUGAUUUAGCCCCUUCCAAAAAGUCCAACAUCACCACCAUUGUUAAAUACUGAAGCAACUGGAAAGUAUGGCUGGUAUGAUUAUUACUUGACUCAACAGCACAGAUUGACCGUAAGGUUACAUACAUAAUAGUGUAGUAAGAUCCCUAAUCUUAAGGUAAGAUAUGUACCAGUGUAGUAGAUAAGAUCACUAACCUUAAGGUAAGAUAUGUAAUAGUGUAGUAGGUGUGAUUACCAACCUUAAGAUAAUAUACAUAAUGGUGUAGUAGGUAAGAUCCUUAAUCUUAAGAUAUGUACCAGUGUAGUAGGUAAGAUCACUAACCUUAAGGCAAGAUACAUAAUAGUGUAGUAGGUAAGAUC